UAACUCACUACCUUUUGCUGAAAUUUGUUGGAUUUAAACAUGAGCAGCAAUCUCAAUUGUGCCCAACAAAGAAUACACCAAAUCUUAUAUCAUUGAUGAAACAUUUGAAAGAAAUGAUGUAACUUUUCCCAAGGAAAGUUUAUUCAAAAGGAAACUGGAAGAAACGUCUUUUACAAUAUUUCAUAUUAUUUCUUAUUUUCCUUGGACCCUAAUGUAGAAAGCCUUGAGUAGGCUCUUCUGAAGGAAUAACUACAGAAUUAUCGCCGAAUGGACAGAGCUACUAUUACAUUUACGAUAGAGUUCCAGUUCAGUAAAGCCUAGCUUCUUGGCUGCACAAGUUGUUUUUCUUCCUUACUUCCUCCUGUUACCUUUCCAUAACCUCUUAUAAUCUAAAAUCAUCUUUGAUUGUUAUGAGGUGAAAGGGACCUGCUAACUGGGACACUUUCCAGGUUUUCUAAUACAAGAACUAUCAGAGAGAAUGAAUUAGUCCAUUCUCACCCUACUAUAAAGAACUGCCUGAGACUGGGUAAUUUAUAAAGGAAAGAGGUUUAAUUGACUCACAGUUCUGCACGGCUGGGGAGGCCUCGGGAAACUUACAAUCAUGGUGGAAGGGGAAGCAAACACAUCCUUCACAUGAUAGCAGUAAGGAGAAGUGCCGAGCAAAAAGGGGGAAAGCCCCUUAUAAAACCACAAGAUCUCCUGACAACUCACUCACUAUCUCAAGAAGAGCACAGGAAAAACCAUCCCCAUGAUUCAAUUAUCUCCACCUGGUUCCACUCUUGACAGGUGAGGAUUAUUCCAAUUCAAGGUGAG
rnacentral:lncRNA from 10 species